rnacentral:pre_miRNA from 12 species
AAGUUUGCGAAAUCCUCACAUAUUUCGGGUUUCGCGACAUCGUAACCGUUUUUCGACUGGUUCGUUGUCGACGAAACCUGCAUAGUGUGGGGACCCACAAAGUU